rnacentral:rRNA from 1 species
AGAGUUUGAUCCUGGCUCAGAUUGAACGCUGGCGGCAGGCCUAACACAUGCAAGUCGAGCGGAUGAAGGUAGCUUGCUACCGGAUUCAGCGGCGGACGGGUGAGUAAUGCCUAGGAAUCUGCCCGAUAGUGGGGGACAACGUUUCGAAAGGAACGCUAAUACCGCAUACGUCCUACGGGAGAAAGCAGGGGACCUUCGGGCCUUGCGCUAUCGGAUGAGCCUAGGUCGGAUUAGCUAGUUGGUGGGGUAAAGGCUCACCAAGGCGACGAUCCGUAACUGGUCUGAGAGGAUGAUCAGUCACACUGGAACUGAGACACGGUCCAGACUCCUACGGGAGGCAGCAGUGGGGAAUAUUGGACAAUGGGCGAAAGCCUGAUCCAGCCAUGCCGCGUGUGUGAAGAAGGUCUUCGGAUUGUAAAGCACUUUAAGCUGGGAGGAAGGGCAGUAAGUUAAUACCUUGCUGUUUUGACGUUACCAGCAGAAUAAGCACCGGCUAACUUCGUGCCAGCAGCCGCGGUAA